UACGUAGGGUGCAAGCGUUGUCCGGAAUUAUUGGGCGUAAAGAGCUCGUAGGCGGUCUGUCGCGUCGGCUGUGAAAACCCGGGGCUCAACCCCGGGCCUGCAGUCGAUACGGGCAGGCUAGAGUCCGGCAGGGGGAGACUGGAAUUCCUGGUGUAGCGGUGGAAUGCGCAGAUAUCAGGAGGAACACCGGUGGCGAAGGCGGGUCUCUGGGCAGUAACUGACGCUGAGGAGCGAAAGCGUGGGGAGCAAAGCAGG
rnacentral:rRNA from 1 species